rnacentral:rRNA from 1 species
GACGAACGCUGGCGGCGUGCUUAACACAUGCAAGUCGAGCGGAAAGGCCACUUCGGUGGUCCUCGAGCGGCGAACGGGUGAGUAACACGUGAGUAAUCUGCCCCUCACUUUGGGAUAGCCACCGGAAACGGUGAUUAAUACCGGAUAUGACCAUAUGUCGCAUGGCGUGUGGUGGAAAGUUUUUCGGUGAGGGAUGUGCUCGCGGCCUAUCAGCUUGAUGGUGAGGUAAUGGCUCACCAUGGCUUCGACGGGUAGCCGGCCUGAGAGGGUGACCGGUCACACUGGGACUGAGACACGGCCCAGACUCCUACGGGAGGCAGCAGUGGGGAAUAUUGGACAAUGGGCGGAAGCCUGAUCCAGCAACGCCGCGUGAGGGAUGACGGCCUUCGGGUUGUAAACCUCUUUCAGUACCGACGAAGCGCAAGUGACGGUAGGUACAGAAGAAGCACCGGCCAACUACGUG